UAGGUGCUGUAACAAUUGCACCAAACCCCCCAUAUAACACCAUUCAACUUGCAGUUUAGUAGCUAGGUACAAAUACCUUUCGCCUGCCCUUCUGAAUAUCCGUUUGAGCUCAAAUUUGACGGUCAGACUCGGUUUUACUUAACUCGACGAAAAAAAUUUUAAUUUUUCAAUUUCGACCCUGUUUGGUCACCGAAAGCUCUACCGAACUGUAAUCUCUAGCAGAUAGCAGUCGGAUUUUAUUUUUCACUUUCCGGGUGUCGGAUUGACAUGAAACUUUAAAUCUAGUUUCAUAAAAAUAAUCCCGACAUAUCCCCAAGUUUUCAUAAUUUUCUGACACUGUGCAUUUUCUGCUAAAAUAUCAGCCCCGUUUCCAACAGAAAAUUCUAAAUCUUCUGUUUCAGGUCCGAUUUCAGCACAAGUCGUUUUCGAGUUCUAUUUUACUUCUCUAAGUCAAAUAAAAAUAGUAUCUCACACUAUUUUUAUUUAUACUUAUUUUAUAUUAAAAAUUCGGUAUAUUAUAUUCUACCGUAACUUCAUAAUUUCAGAAGUUCAAUUCAAUAUCUUACACCGGAGCUCAUCGCUCGAGGGGGUGCGACCGCCCUCAAGCCAAGACUUAUAGGUGAGUAUAAUCAAUCCUUAACUUUAAGGAUUCUAAAUCCAAUCCAUUCCUCACUAUGAGGAUACAAUGCUCAUAUGACCCUUAACUUUAAGAUUGCUAUGUCAUAAUGUCCACUAUCUCUCUUUACUUGCAUUCUUUAACUUGCAUUAGUGUCAUUUACACUACUUGUUCUUUAUACACAUUUUCAUGCAUUCGUCGAUCUCAUUAUGCCACACUAAGUGUUCAACUCUAGCAUUCAAAACUCAUUGAUGCCACAUACACUAAGUUUGAAACUCUAGCAUUCAUUGUUUAUU
rnacentral:lncRNA from 1 species